rnacentral:tRNA from 1 species
GCUCGCGUAGCCUAAUCGGAUAGGGCGUCAGACUUCUAACCUGAAGAUUGCGGGUUCAAGUCCCGCCGUGAGUG